rnacentral:rRNA from 1 species
AGUGAACGCUGGCGGUAGGCCUAACACAUGCAAGUCGAACGGCAGCACAGUAAGAGCUUGCUCUUAUGGGUGGCGAGUGGCGGACGGGUGAGGAAUACAUCGGAAUCUACUUUUUCGUGGGGGAUAACGUAGGGAAACUUACGCUAAUACCGCAUACGACCUACGGGUGAAAGCAGGGGAUCUUCGGACCUUGCGCGAUUGAAUGAGCCGAUGUCGGAUUAGCUAGUUGGCGGGGUAAAGGCCAACCAGGGCGACGAUCCGUAGCUGGUCUGAGUGGAUGAUCGGCCACACUGGAACUGAGACACGGUCCAGACUCCUACGGGAGGUAGCAGUGGGGAAUAUUGGACAAUGGGCGCAAGCCUGAUCCAGCCAGACCGCGUGGGUGAAGAAGGCCUUCGGGUUGUAAAGCCCUUUUGUUGGGAAAGAAAAGCAGCAGGUUAAUACCCCGCUGUUCUGACGGUACCCAAAGAAUAAGCACCGGCUAACUUCGUG